rnacentral:tRNA from 1 species
GGCGUGGCCGAGUGGUUGAAGGCACCGGACUGAAAAUCCGGCGAACCGCACUGCGGUUCCGAGGGUUCGAAUCCCUCCGCCA